UGAGGUUAUAGCUGAUAAUACACUGGGUGCUCCAUACAUGUAAGUUUGAGACAUUGUGAGAGCAGAGAAAGCACAAAGCAAGUAGGAUGCAACCAAACUGAAUGUCUAUCAUUGAAGCCAGGAAAGUAUACGAUGUAGAUGAUGAGAGCAGGCUGGACGCAGAUAAUACGGAGUUCUGGAGCUAACUGGAAAGCCAAUGCUCAAUUGAAACUCAUUUACAAUUUAGAAUUUAAAAUCUCUGUAAGGGACAAACAAAAUAAACACCAAGACUGCUAGUUCACAAACCCUGCAAAGCAAAUGAAACAUUUAUGUUUCAGGCGAGACCACAACUGUGAGCCAUGAGAUGCAGUUGCCCAGUUCUGGGUGUUCCCAUGAAUUAGGGUUCUGGGGAAAGGAAGCCCCAUGGUGCUCCCCGACCAUGUCCCCCCUACUCAGCACCCUCUUCCUCCCAAAGCCAAGAGAAUUGAAGGGCCUUUGAGUCCAUGCCUCUCUUUUAAUUUCAAAACUGAACAUGACCACUCUUUAUUUUUAAUCUUCCCUUCCCCUAGUCUAUGCCUUCAAGCAGCUUUUCUGGGGAGAGAGUGUUGGCGCCCACACUGGCAGAUCUGAGUCCCUGGCCACGUGCCCGCUGUGAUGAGGAUGUUGCCAUGCUCACCCACCCCAGCAGCCUGGAAUCCAGCCUUUAGAGGGGCUCACUUGAGAACUGUCAGCAUGAUGAGGAGAGUGGAAGUCAAGUCCCACAGGUGACCCAGCUAGAGAGAGUGUCCCCAGUCACAAUUGGAGUCUUAUGUAAGAAGAAAUAAGGAAAGCCUACUGGGUUGAAUCUAAAAGUAGAAAACUCAUAACAAGGCUAUGUGUGAACAUCAAGAGAGAAUUCAAGAUGGCGGGGAUGACACUCUUUAGUCCAUGUGUGCCUGGUUUUCAUCAUCUCCUUGACUUACACACAUGUGGGUGCCUUUACCUCUGAAGACUUUUUCUCUUCUAACUGAUGAUGCUCCAUUCUCUUCUGACAAAAGCUCCCUGCCAAGGCCUGAUUGAACCUCUGCCCUGUGGUUCCUUGAAACAUCGUCAUAUUCUUGUACUAAAUUCCCCAUUUUCUUAAGCUAGCUCUGGUAAGUUUUUGCCAUUUACAGUCAAAGUGAACUCACUAAUAAAAUAUUCCCAACUGCA